rnacentral:rRNA from 1 species
UACGUAGGGGGCAAGCGUUGUCCGGAUUUAUUGGGCGUAAAGAGCGUGUAGGCGGCCAUGUAGGUCCGUUGUGAAAACUCGAGGCUCAACCUCGAGACGCCGAUGGAAACCAUGUGGCUAGAGUCCGGAAGAGGAGAGUGGAAUUCCUGGUGUAGCGGUGAAAUGCGCAGAUAUCAGGAGGAACACCAAUGGCGAAGGCAGCUCGCUGGGACGGUACUGACGCUGAGACGCGAAAGCGUGGGGAGCGAACAGG